GCUAGUAAUCGUAGAUCAGCAUGCUACGGUGAAUACGUUCCCGGGUCUUGUACACACCGCCCGUCACACCACGAGAGUUUGUAACACCCGAAGCCGGUGGAGUAACCAUUUAUGGAGCUAGCCGUCGAAGGUGGGACAAAUGAUUGGGGUGAAGUCGUAACAAGGUAGCCGUAUCGGAAGGUGCGGCUGGAUCACCUCCUUUCUAAGGA
rnacentral:rRNA from 1 species